rnacentral:rRNA from 1 species
UAGGGAAUAUUGGACAAUGGGGGCAACCCUGAUCCAGCCAUGCCGCGUGAGUGAAGAAGGCCCUCGGGUUGUAAAGCUCUUUUGUCCGGAAAGAAAAGCAUUCGGUGAAUACCCGGAUGUUCUGACGGUACCGGAAGAAUAAGCACCGGCUAACUUCGUGCCAGCAGCCGCGGUAAUACGAAGGGUGCAAGCGUUACUCGGAAUUACUGGGCGUAAAGCGUGCGUAGGUGGUUGUUUAAGUCUGAUGUGAAAGCCCUGGGCUCAACCUGGGAAUGGCAUUGGAAACUGGGCAGCUAGAGUGCGGUAGAGGGUAGUGGAAUUCCAAGUGUAGCAGUGAAAUGCGUAGAGAUCGGGAGGAACAUCUGUGGCGAAGGCGACUGCCUGGACCAGCACCGACACUGAGGCACGAAAGCGUGGGGAGCAAACA